AAGCUCUCCCUCUCACGACGGCGUAAAGAUGGUAGUUCUGUCUUUGAUGCAUCACAUUAUGCCUUUUUUGGGAACCAUGUUGUUGAGGAGUUGACAAAUUUGUAUGGCCAGCAAAUACUGGAUUCGAAUGACACAAGGUGGAUAUCUCAGCCUUUUUCUACUCCAGAUCUUAUUGAGCAAAGAAACCUGCACAGAGCAAUUUCAUAUCCUGAACCACAGCAUCACCAGCGGCCACACCAGCAUCAGCAACAAUUUUCCAGCGAACCAAUUAUUCUACCAAAGUCAUCUGGUGGAGACCGCAAGAUCAGC